rnacentral:lncRNA from 1 species
UUGCUUAUUAACAUGAUGUGACUCAGAAGCCGUCGGUGGAAUUGGAUUUUGUCCUUGUCAUUUUAUUUGCAGUUGAAAAUUCUGAAAGCUUUGUGGGUAAUGGGUUUCUGAAGAAGGUUUUUGGUGGUGACACGCUGCUUCCUAGAACUUUCAUGCAAAAGAAAGUAUGUGUCUUUCUUCUACCAAGACUUCCAGAAAAUCUACCUCAGCCUUGAAUGUGUUGAAUUCGUAUUACUCUCUUAGUAUCAAAUAUAAACACAAUAUGUAAAAAAAAUUGUAUUUAAUUCAUAUUUUAAAUGAAAUAAAUGAUUUUCUUUUGUCCUAUUUUUAUUUUUAUUUGCAACCGAAAUAAUAUUAAUUAGAAUUGAGUAUGUUGUUACUCCAUGUAAGAACAUCUCCAACGAUAGUCAAAUGUCUUCGUUCAGCGUGGAGUUACGUAAAAUUCAGUUAUUAACGAGUUUACUGUCAAGCUCUCAGUAAGAAAUGAU